UAUACGGGGCGCAGCAGGCGCGAAACCUNUGCUAUAGGCGAAAGCCUGACAGGGUUACUGUGAGUGAUUUCCGUUAAGGRGAUCUUUUGGCACCUCUAAAAAUGGUGCAGAAUAAGGGGUGGGCAAGUCUGGUGUCAGCCGCCGCGGUAAUACCAGCACCCCGAGUGGUCGGGACGUUUAUUGGUCCUAAAGCAUCCGUAGCCGGUUNUUCAAGUCUUCCGUUAAAUCCACNUGCUUAACAGUUGGGCUGCGGAGGAUACUAUAGAGCUAGGAGGCGGGAGAGGCAAGCGGUACUCNAUGGGUAGGGGUAAAAUCCUUUGAUCCAUUGAAGACCACCAGUGGCGAAGGCGKCUUGCCAGAACGCGCUCGACGGUGAGGGAUGAAAGCUGGGGGSGCAAACCGGAUUAGAUACCCGGGUAGUCCCAGCCUGUAAACGAUGCAGACUACGGUGUAUGAGGUUGGNCUUCGAUGCCAUUCUCAGUGCCGCAGGGAAGC
rnacentral:rRNA from 1 species